CCCCAGCUGGAGCUGGGUACACACUAAUUGCUCCCUCACAUAAGGGCAACCCCACCCCCUCACUUCCCCAGCCUGUCUCUCCUAAAGAGGACGUAGCCCUCCAUGAUUGGGUUCCAGUCAUGUGAGCUGUCCCACCACAUCUCAGUGAUUGCAACAAGAUCGUGGCCCCGUGUCCGAACGCAGACCUUGAGCUCAUCCUGUUUAUUUCCCACGCUCCGUGCACAGGCACUUUAGGGAAGCAGCAGGUCUGCCAGUAGCUGACAGAGUAGAAAGGUGUGCUUCUCUCUCUUUUUUGUAUAGAGUUAGAGGCAAGCCUGAUAUCCAGCCAAGAUGGACAAAGGAGAAGGACAAGGACAAAGCCUGGGAGGAAGACUAUGAGCCUUCAGCACGAGAGACCCCCAGAGGGACCACUGGGGACUGAUAUGCAUGUGCCAGUGGGAGGGUUCGGAAUCCGGGAACUAAUUAUAAUAACACUGCCUUUUCUAGAAGUAGUAAUGAACAUGUAUUAGCCUAGGAGCAGAAAAAGCUGCCGCCUGAUGUAACGUGUGUGCGUGUUGGAGGAGCCCAGACUCCUCGCGCACCCAGCGCUCUUUACUUGCCUUCUAUUAACCCCAUAAAUAAAUCUCAUAAAGCUAA